UGUAAUUAUACAAUAAUUAUCCACUUAAAGGAUAAGUAAUCCAUUUUCUUGUUUUGGAAAGAACUAGAAGCUGAGAAAGGAAGCAAAAGAGAGAAAAAUCGGUGGAAAAAAAAGGAGAAAAGAGAAAAAGAGAGAAAGAAAAAAAAGAAAAAAGAAAAAAAAGGAGGUGCCAGGCGACUAUGUGUAGGAGGUGGGAUACACUUCUUCAAGUAUUGGGAUCCUCAUUUGUUCUAAAAUCUCAAGUGGGAUCUCAUACUUGAUAUUUGAAGUUGAAGCAGUGACGAGAAGAUUGAAACCCCGAUCGACCAUGACUUGACGGUCCCUGCAUUUGUUAAGCAUAUUUUUACAGCUGGAAUGUCGAGCAGCCAAAGAGCUGAAAGUCUCAUUCAUUUCUCAAAAGGUACAUUUCGAAGGAAAACUCAUUGAUGGAUUUAAUUAUAUGCUUUAACAGAUCACUUAGACAUCAAAGACAUCAAGAGUUGAUGAUUAAUCAUUGUGAUAUUAAUGAAAAACCAAAAUUGAAAUCCUUCUGGCCAAUGGAGGCACAAAUGUCGAAGGUUUAUACAAGAAAAGUUUUUAAACUUUUCAAGAUGAGAUUUUUGAAAGUCAAGCUUACAUUUAAAAUACAUUAUGUAAAGAUGAAUCAAGUUUGACUUAUAUUAUUGAAAGGUUGAUAAAUUUUUUACAUCAAGAUCUCGAAAACUUAUUCACAAUAAGUUUUUAGAUAUUGUACAUUGUAGUUGUCAACAACUUGAAUGUGAAAGAAUUCCAUGCAGAAAUAUGUUGGUGUACUUUAGGGUCAAACAAAUAUUGCAAUUGCCAACUCAAUAUAUUCUUCAAAGGUGGACCAAAAGUGCAAAGAUUGGUAAAGUGUGGGACAAAGAUAAUGAAGAACUAAAUGACAUUCCAAACCAAUCGUUGAUAUUAAGACAUUCUAAACUAUCUCAAUUUCUUCUAUUGUGGUUGAUGAUGCAUCUCUCACCGAUGAAGGAGCAAAUAGGUGCAUGAAAAGAUGAAAAAAAUCAAAAGAGACAACAAUGAGUAAAAAGAGAGUUGGUCAUGGAUGUGGACUUCGUGGCCAAUCACACGAUAAGAGAAAUUGUCCAAAAUUACUUGAAAGAUCCUUUGGGUUCAAAUGACGAAGUUCCCUACAAUUUCAUUUUACAAAAUUCAUGUCAAUACCCGCAAUGUUGAGAAAUUAUAAAUUCUGUUUUGGGGUGUGGCUCGAAGCAUUGAGAAUCCUAGAUGAACAAGUUCUCAUCAACAAUUCAUCUGAGAGUUAUAAGGUGUUCUGACCAAUCUUUGUAGUCAUUUCUCACAUGAAGGCUAUGAGAAGUUUACAGCUUGAAUUUAUUCUAUUUUAAGCAGUUUAAGACUGUGGGUUUAUUAUGUAAUUCUGCUUUUUUUAAUGUGUGAAACAGUGUCUAGAGUCAUUUCUGGUGGGCAUUUGUGCUCUAAAUGUUCAUUCAAAUGUCCUGAUUCACCAUUUUAAACCUCUUUUGCCAGUAGAACAAUGUGUUAUGAUGCUAAAUCAAAUUGAAUGAUGACAAGCCAUUUUCAUUCUCUAAUUGAACUCUGUAUAAUGAUUUUAUCUAA